rnacentral:tRNA from 1 species
GAAUAUGAAACGAUAUAUUGUAAUUAGUUUCGACCUAAUCUUAGGUAUUUUAUACCCUUAUUCU